rnacentral:rRNA from 30 species
UGCCAGUGAUAAACUGGAGGAAGGUGGGGAUGACGUCAAGUCAUCAUGGCCCUUACGACCAGGGCUACACACGUGCUACAAUGGCGCAUACAAAGAGAAGCGACCUCGCGAGAGCAAGCGGACCUCAUAAAGUGCGUCGUAGUCCGGAUUGGAGUCUGCAACUCGACUCCAUGAAGUCGGAAUCGCUAGUAAUCGUGGAUCAGAAUGCCACGGUGAAUACGUUCCCGGGCCUUGUACACACCGCCCGUCACACCAUGGGAGUGGGUUGCAAAAGAAGUAGGUAGCUUAACCUUCGGGAGGGCGCUUACCACUUUGUGAUUCAUGACUGGGGUGAAGUCGUAACAAGGUAACCGUAGGGGAACCUGCGGUUGGA